rnacentral:rRNA from 1 species
AAACUUUUAACAGCGGAUCUCUUGGUUCUGGCAUCGAUGAAGAACGCAGCGAAAUGCGAUAAGUAAUGUGAAUUGCAGAAUUCAGUGAAUCAUCGAAUCUUUGAACGCACAUUGCGCCCGCCAGCAUUCUGGCGGGCAUGCCUGUUCGAGCGUCAUUUC